rnacentral:rRNA from 1 species
UACAGGGGGGGCAAGCGUUGUUCGGAAUUACUGGGCGUAAAGGGCUCGUAGGUGGCCAACUAAGUCAGACGUGAAAUCCCUCAGCUUAACUGGGGAACUGCGUCUGAUACUGGAUGGCUUGAGUUUGGGAGAGGGAUGCGGAAUUCCAGGUGUAGCGGUGAAAUGCGUAGAUAUCUGGAGGAACACCGGUGGCGAAGGCGGCAUCCUGGGCCUGGACUGACGCUGAGGCGCGAAAGCUGGGGGAGCGAACGGG